rnacentral:misc_RNA from 1 species
UGGGAUGCAUGCUUGGCAAGACCUGUCAUUAGUUUCCAUGAGCACUGCAGCCAUCUUGGGGAAGGAAGCACAGGAGUGAAGUUCAAUUAUAAUCAUUCAUCAGGUUGUUCUCACACCAUCAGACCAUUUGUCUAUUGACCUGCUGGUGUUCCUACUUACUGCAUCUAGAUGCUACAGUCAUCGUGUAUAUUAUAUUUCUGAAUUGUGCUGUACAGACUCUGGUAAUGCCUGGUAAAUUGGAACAUAGCCAUGUCUUUCAACCACUUUGUGGAUUAUAAAAAGCCAUGAACCAUGGAUCACUGUUUUUGUAAAUAGUAGUUCUGGUAUAAUUUUUGUAUGUACA